UACGUAGGGGGCGAGCGUUGUCCGGAUUUAUUGGGCGUAAAGAGCGUGUAGGCGGCCAUGUAGGUCUGACGUGAAAUUCCGAGGCUCAACCUCGGCAGGUCGUUGGAAACCAUAUGGCUAGAGUCCGGAAGAGGAGAGUGGAAUUCCUGGUGUAGCGGUGAAAUGCGCAGAUAUCAGGAAGAACACCAAUGGCGAAGGCAGCUCUCUGGGACGGUACUGACGCUGAGACGCGAAAGCGUGGGGAGCGAACAGG
rnacentral:rRNA from 1 species